rnacentral:lncRNA from 1 species
CGGGAUACUUUCUCUUACAGCAUGAUCAUGAAGAGAGUUGACAGAUCUUUCAAAUUUUAGCAAAGAAAAUAGAAGUAGAAGAAUAUUUAAAGAUCAAAGAGAAGAAGUUGGAGAUGGCAAAAAUUUGAGAAGAGAAAUACAAUCGUUGCUUUUCAAUAUUUCAUACCAUCCGAACUCGUAGUUUUAUAUAUAUUAUAGAA